rnacentral:rRNA from 1 species
UACAGCGGGUGCAAACGUUGUUCGGAAUUACUGGGCGUAAAGCGCGUGUAGGCGGCCAUCUAAGUCGGGCGUGAAAUCCCACGGCUCAACCGUGGAAGUGCACUCGAAACUGGAUGGCUAGAGUCCUGGAGAGGAAGGUGGAAUGCUUGGUGUAGAGGUGAAAUUCGUAGAUAUCAAGCGGAACACCGGUGGCGAAGGCGGCCUUCUGGACAGUGACUGACGCUGAGACGCGAAAGCGUGGGGAGCAAACAGG